rnacentral:rRNA from 1 species
GACGAACGCUGGCGGCAUGCCUAAUACAUGCAAGUCGAGCGAACAGAUGAAGUGCUUGCACUUCUGACGUUAGCGGCGAACGGGUGAGUAACACGUAAGGAAUCUACCUAUAAGCGGGGGAUAACAUUCGGAAACGGGUGCUAAUACCGCAUAAUAUCUUCUUCCGCAUGGGAGAAGAUUGAAAGACGGCUCUGCUGUCACUUAUAGAUGACCUUGCGGCGCAUUAGUUAGUUGGUGGGGUAAUGGCCUACCAAGACGAUGAUGCAUAGCCGACCUGAGAGGGUGAUCGGCCACAUUGGGACUGAGACACGGCCCAAACUCCUACGGGAGGCAGCAGUAGGGAAUCUUCCGCAAUGGGCGAAAGCCUGACGGAGCAAUGCCGCGUGAGUGAAGAAGGCCUUCGGGUCGUAAAACUCUGUUAUAAGAGAAGAACAAAUUGUAGAGUAACUGCUACAGUCUUGACGGUAUCUUAUCAGAAAGCCACGGCUAACUACGUGCCAGCAGCCGCCGUAA